rnacentral:tRNA from 1 species
GGAUCGGUGGCCGAGUGGUUUAAGGCGCACGCUUGGAAAGCGUGUGUGCGUGAAAGCGUACCGUGGGUUCGAAUCCCACCCAAUCCGCCA